CAAGGAUAAGGAGCAAAGAGGGGACAGGAGAUGAGGAAAAGGAGAUCAUGGAGCAAGAAAGCUGAAGCCAAGCCACAUUACGAUUUAUUCUGCAAUGAGAUACUUGUCAAGGAUUCAUGGCAGAGUGGCUUACUGGAAAAGGACCACAGAACCUCUUCUAGGGAUAUUAUAAGAAUAGAUGAACUA
rnacentral:lncRNA from 1 species